AUCCUUUUGUGGUUCAUAACAUGAUGACUGGACUUACACAUGUCUGUGUGACAUGUGCCUCCCUCCAACCUUGUUACAACACUGGCAUCUUACCUGUCUGACA